rnacentral:rRNA from 1 species
AACGAACGCUGGCGGCAUGCCUAACACAUGCAAGUCGAACGAGACCUUCGGGUCUAGUGGCGCACGGGUGCGUAACGCGUGGGAACCUGCCCUUAGGUUCGGAAUAACUCCCCGAAAGGGGUGCUAAUACCGGAUAAUGUCUUCGGACCAAAGAUUUAUCGCCUUUGGAUGGGCCCGCGUUGGAUUAGCUAGUUGGUAGGGUAAAAGCCUGCCAAGGCGACGAUCCAUAGCUGGUCUGAGGGGAUGAUCAGCCACACUGGGACUGAGACACGGCCCAGACUCCUACGGGAGGCAGCAGUGGGGAAUAUUGGACAAUGGGCGAAAGCCUGAUCCAGCAAUGCCGCGUGAGUGAUGAAGGCCUUAGGGUUGUAAAGCUCUUUUACCCGGGAUGAUAAUGACAGUACCGGGAGAAUAAGCUCCGGCUAACUCCGUG